rnacentral:rRNA from 1 species
UACGAAGGGAGCUAGCGUUGUUCGGAAUCACUGGGCGUAAAGCGCACGUAGGCGGAUUUGCCAGUCAGGGGUGAAAUCCCGGGGCUCGACCUCGGAACUGCCUUUGAUACAGCAAGUCUUGAGUUCGAGAGAGGUGGGUGGAAUUCCUAGUGUAGAGGUGAAAUUCGUAGAUAUUAGGAAGAACACCGGUGGCGAAGGCGGCCCACUGGCUCGACACUGACGCUGAGGUGCGAAAGCGUGGGGAGCAAACAGG